UAUAAUGGAUACUAGUUCGGUACUAAGUGUCCACUUUAAAUAUACUUAAUCCUAAGAAAAGACAUUUGAUAAUUAUAUAUUGGUACCUGUACCUUUACAUAUUUCAGAACUUGAUGCUAUUUUAUUUGGGUAGAUAUCCAAUGGACAAAUGUCCUCGUGGGUUCUAAACUAAACUAGCAGGGUAUGUCCCAGUACCGGCCAUUCUCGUUAUCGCCUGUAGAUAUGUCUUGCAGACAUGCAACAAAGCUAAAACUAAUAAGCUGAGGAUCUAGAUGCCCUGAUGCAGCCUGUUGCCUGAAAAAUGAUAUUACAAAAUCAACAAACUGAACUCCUGAUAACUCCUGGAACAAAUCAUGCAGAACAUCUGGACCUUUGCCACAUACCAUACUUGCUGUACUAAACUGUGCUACUUCAUGGGAAUACAUACAUAUGCCAUUCAAGAGCAUACAAUGCCAAUAUGUUGAAGCCAAUCAACAUAUCUCCAUGAACUGUAUAAAUAAUUAUCAACCAUUACCUGCUGGUAUUGUGUAUACAUGGCACCACAGGACCACAGCAACAUCUAAGCUACCUUUGCAUAAACAAAUAAUGCGUUUCACAAAGGAAACAACCUUCCCAGAGUUGGAAGAACAGGCAGACCUACCAUUCUUUCUGAGACAUUCUUUGUGAUGGAGUCAUAGAACAUGGGGCCAAAACAAGUGCAAAUGUAGUCAGCACACACAGUAUCACACUUUGGAUUUAAGGUUAGUGAGGGAGGAAGCAGAAGUAAUGGAAUGCUUUACUUUUGAUAUAUGAGGCAGUGUUUUUGCUCAUCCUUUUGGUAGUCAAUCCAUAUGUGUCCCACAGCUCAUAAGUGUACACAAGGGAAUUUCUUGUUCUGCACACCCAGUCUCAAACUGUAACACAUUCUCAAUUUUACAAAUUCCUGUAGCUCAACCAAUUGCCAUAACAUAACAAAACCUGAAAUUAAUGAAUGUUCUGUCCCAGGAGAAGAUGCAUGGAAUACCACUUCGCUGCCUACAAGUAGUAUGUCCUAUCUCAUUACUCUGCAUAGGUUUCCAUGGUGUUUAGAUUCUUUUGGCACAAUAUUUUUGAAUUAGGAGUUUCUGUUACUUAAUCUAAUGAUGGCCUGUUUGUUUCAAGUCUGUGCUUGUAGCAAGAUUAUCUGAAAUUUGUGUUAUUUAUCCUAUCCUGUAUAGUUUGCCAAAUGAAGGUUUAACCAUCUAGAUUUCGGUAAGGGCAUGUUUGCCUGACUGGCAAGCCUGCAUUUUCAUGGUGUACAUUGACUAAUUGAUUCUCCAUUAGUGAGAAAACAAAGGUGGAAUUGAGUGAAUUCAUAUACCCCUCUAAUAUUUUUUUUGUUUGUGAUUAUUUCUGAUUUUGAUUUAUAUUGUUUGAUAUAUGUACAUCUGAGGUGUACAUUUGUACUUCUAGAAUUUUUGUGAAUGUUUCUGUGAUUGUACCUUGUCCCUCUGUGAUAACAGGCACUAAGGUCAGGAGGUAAUAACAUUCUUGGAGCUGCCCUCCUUUGUCUCCUCUCAUCUUAAGUUUGAUUACACUUCGAAUUGAAGUUUCUCCAUGCAUGAAAAUAUGAGGGUCAACACAGUCUCCUGACUCUUAACUGCCAAAUUUCUAACAGCUGUCUCCAUGAGAACUGCUACACUUAAAGGGGUGAAAGUGUGAUAACCAAUAAAUAAAUGAAUAAAAUAUUAAAUAAUGUAAAAUGCUAAAAUUGUAUAAUUUCAAAAAUUAUACAAUUAUAUUUAGAUAAAUAAAUUAUAUAAAUUAAAUGGAAGUAUUUUACAAUUACUGAGUCUUGGGCUCUGAGGCUUAUGUCCUUGCCUGUCACAGCAUGUCAUUGUUUGAAGCAGUUCUGAGUGGAUGUAGGGCACAAUGGCAUAUUACAUUUUGUGCAGUAAUUUUGUUUUCUGUUUAGGGUCCAAGCACAUAGUGCUUGAAAUUGUAUUGCAAUUUAAUUUUGCCCUUGUUGCAUAUGUGGAGAAGUAGUCUGGCAUGCGCAAGCCUUCACAGGCUGGCUGAGGUGUAUCUGAAGCAGAAGUAAACUCUUCUGUGAAGGUGCCAAUUCUAUCUGCAGAAUAAAACUAUUUACAAUG